rnacentral:tRNA from 1 species
GCAGUGCGUGGCCGAAUGGUGACGCUGUCCGCUUUGUAAGCGGAUGAUUCUGGGUGCGAUUCCCAUCUGCUGCA